GGCGACAGCAGUUGGGAAGACGGACAAAUGCAUAUUCUUGGAUUCUACCCAAAAUCUCCCGAGUCAGAACGGCGGAGGAGGGGAAGUGAUGGAAGCCGAAAUGGUGAAGGAAAUGAAAACCCUGACACAGCAGCAUUCACAAUUGGAUGGGGCCAUUGAUGGGCAGCAAGCACUACUAUGAACCAAAGGGAUGACCCUCUAACCUGGGAAACUUCAGGCACCUUGACAUUCUGCUGGAGAAGUGAGACAGGUGGACUCUGCAUCCAAACAAGUGACUGUUUCCCUCUUAGGGACCCACAUGGCUUUCGAUGAUAGGCCAUAUGGAAGAUGGGCCAUUUUGGAAGAUGGUGUACCUACCUAAUUGUCAUAAGCCGCAGCCAGCAUGGGGAGAUGCUUACACUUGGAGAAACUCAAGAGAAGUGGGAAGGACUAAAGCGAUCCCUUCGUGACCACCGAGUAGAAUAACAAGAACAGAAUGAAGUCAAACUGCUCCCCUACUCUAUCCCACACUUAAUUUCCAUCCUUCCCUUGGUGUGUGUCUUAGGUGAUGUGUAUACAUUUGUGUGUGCACACGUGUGUGGAUGCAUGCGCCUGUGUGCAUGUGGAGGCCGGAGAUCACAUCAGAAGCCCUCCUCCAUUGCUCUCUGUGUUAUUUGAUGAGACAAACUAUCGCUGAAGCUAGAACUAGCUUGUCUGGCCAGUGAGCUGCAGGGAUCCUAUUGUCUUUGCCUCCCAGAACACCCAACUUGCCUGUGUCUCUACAUGGGUGCUGAGGAUUCAAACUCAGGUCCACAUGCUUGCAUGGCAAGCUCUUUUAUCUGCCCAGCCUCUUCCAUUUCUCCAUUCUUUACUGAUCACAUACAUUUGACUACUUAACAACUGCAUUGAGUUCAUCUCCCACGUGUAUAGUCUCAUUUGAAUUUUUCCUUUGGACAGACCCAGUCAGCAGCUGAAUCAUAAUUCUCUUUGACAGAAGGUAUAGACACAAGGAAGGACU